rnacentral:rRNA from 1 species
UACGUAGGGGGCAAGCGUUGUCCGGAUUCAUUGGGCGUAAAGAGCGUGUAGGCGGCCAGGCAGGUCCGUUGUGAAAACUCGAGGCUCAACCUCGAGACGUCGAUGGAAACCGUCUGGCUAGAGUCCGGAAGAGGAGAGUGGAAUUCCUGGUGUAGCGGUGAAAUGCGCAGAUAUCAGGAAGAACACCUAUGGCGAAGGCAGCUCUCUGGGACGGUACUGACGCUGAGACGCGAAAGCGUGGGGAGCGAACAGG